rnacentral:lncRNA from 1 species
AGAAGUUAACUUGUGGAAGAGAAGAACCAUGGAUCCACCUAAACCACUUCAUCUUCAGACCUAAUGAUUAAAAACUCUUUUAAAUUUUUUAUCUUUUUCUUUCGUUAUAUAUAUAAGUUACUGCAAACCAAAUCAUAUAACGAUCAUCAUACACUGUGAAUCUGAUGAUUAUCAUUUUUCUUCUUUAGUUAAAUUAUGUGUGAAUACCUGUUUGGGUUCAAUUUUGAUAUAUGCCACAAGUGAAAUCUCUCUCUCUGAGACUACCUUCUUGCAACUACGAUUACAAAUUAU